rnacentral:rRNA from 1 species
CCUACGGGAGGCAGCAGUGGGGAAUAUUGGGCAAUGGGCGCAAGCCUGACCCAGCAACGCCGCGUGAAGGAAGAAGGCUUUCGGGUUGUAAACUUCUUUUGUCAGGGAAGAGUAGAAGACGAUACCUGACGAAUAAGCCACGGCUCACUACGUGCCAGCAGCCGCGGUAAUACGUAGGUGGCAAGCGUUGUCCGGAUUUACUGGGGGGAAAGGGCGUGUAGCCGGGUUGACAAGGCAGAUGUGAAAUCCUGCGGCUUAACCGCAGAACUGCAUUUGAAACUGUUGAUCUUGAGUACAGGAGAGGCAGACGGAAUUCCUAGUGGAGGCGGGAAAUGCGUAGAUAUUAGGAGGAACACCAGUGGCGAAGGCGGUCUGCUGGAACGCAACUGACGGUGAGGCGCGAAAGCGUGGGGAGCAAACAGGAUUAGAUACCCUUGUAGUC